UGCCAUCGACAAGAUGGAGGAAGGUGGGGAGUGACGUCAAGUCAUCAUGGCCCUUAUGUCCAGGGCGGACACACGUGCUACAAUGGCCGGCACAACGGGAAGCGAGUUCGCGAGGACGAGCGGAUCCCUCAAAGCCGGUCGCAGUUCGGAUUGAAGUCUGCAACUCGACUUCAUGAAGCUGGAAUCGCUAGUAAUCGUGGAUCAGCCAAGCCGCGGUGAAUACGUUCCCGGGCCUU
rnacentral:rRNA from 1 species